UAGCGUAUAUUAAAGUUGUUGCAGUUAGAACGCUCGUAGUCGGAUUUCGGGGCGGGCCGACCGGUCUGCCGAUGGGUACGUACUGGUCGGCGCGUCCUUCCUCCUGGAGACCGUGCCUACUCUUAACUGAGCGGGGGCGGGAGACAGGACUUUUACUUUGAAAAAAUCAGAGUGUUUCAAGCAGGCAGCUCGCUCUUGCAUGGAUUAGCAUGGGAUAAUGAAAUAGGACUUUGGUGCUAUUUUGUUGGUUUCGAACACCGAAGUAAUGAUGAGAAGGGACAGUCAGGGGCACUCGUAUUCCGCCGAGAGAGGUGAAAUUCUCAGACCAGCGGAAGACGAACCACUGCGAAAGCAUUUG
rnacentral:rRNA from 1 species